rnacentral:rRNA from 1 species
CCUACGGGCGGCUGCAGUGGGGAAUAUUGCACAAUGGGCGCAAGCCUGAUGCAGCCAUGCCGCGUGUGUGAAGAAGGCCUUCGGGUUGUAAAGCACUUUCAGCGGGGAGGAAGGCGGUGAGGUUAAUAACCUCAUAGAUUGACGUUACCCGCAGAAGAAGCACCGGCUAACUCCGUGCCAGCAGCCGCGGUAAUACGGAGGGUGCAAGCGUUAAUCGGAAUUACUGGGCGUAAAGCGCACGCAGGCGGUCUGUCAAGUCGGAUGUGAAAUCCCCGGGCUCAACCUGGGAACUGCAUUCGAAACUGGCAGGCUAGAGUCUUGUAGAGGGGGGUAGAAUUCCAGGUGUAGCGGUGAAAUGCGUAGAGAUCUGGAGGAAUACCGGUGGCGAAGGCGGCCCCCUGGACAAAGACUGACGCUCAGGUGCGAAAGCGUGGGGAGCAAACAGGAUUAGAUACCCGGGUAGUC